AAUUUUGCGCAAAGUCCGUAAUGAAAAAGAAACUCUGUCCCACCGGCGCCCCGCAACAAGGGCACACUUGCCCUAGGGACUCCCACGCAAAAUGUCAGCAAGCUGUUUUUUCUUUGGCGACAAUUUUUUAUUUUAUGUAUAUGUUUGUGUAUUUAAAAAUAAAUAAAUAAAAAAAAACCGGUCCGCCGAGGUCCGGUCCGCGUAGGUCCGUGAAGGUCCGGUCUUCCUUUUACAGAGACCCGCUCUUAUUGAUAAAAUUUCAGCAGUAAUCAAGCAGUGCUCAUGCGCACACAACUAAUAUGCAGAUAAACGUAAAUAUACAAUUUUUACUCUUACGCCUAAGUUCUUUACCAAAUCAUCAGAUGUUUUUGAAAAUAGACAAACAAGACAUGAUAUCGACUUUUUAUCAAAUAUGGUUUUCUAAUAAAGAAAGACUAAGACUCAAAACUGUCUGUUCUUAUGGGGAUUAGGAUACCUGUGGAAAGUCACGCAUUCUAAUCUGGCAGACGGCUGAUCAGUUGUUGUCAUUUGAAACCAGACUCGUGUUCAAGUACUUGACCUUUACAUUGAAAUUUAUCUUACAAAUCGGCCUUUUCCCUAGAAACCUCUUGACAGAAGUAACUUCCAAGGAUGAACCAAGACUAUUAUACAGCAUCUGAGAUUAGUAUACAGCAAGGGUAGAGAUUAUUUUUUGUGAUUUGUCUCCUGUACAAACAGGUAUGUGUAUCUAAUAAAGACGGCUGUCAAGAAAA